CCUUUUCCCAGCGGACCAGAGGCCUGACAAAGCAGGUCCAGGAGCAGAGGUUCAGCUCCAGAGCCAGCGAUCAGUGACACAGGUCACGCCGAGUCCAUCACUACAUGUUCCUUCCUUCCCCUGGGGGGCAGCAGAAUAUUGCUGUUAAGGACCAUAUUUUCAUGGUUUCAGUUUACUCUUCAAUGUUUGGGGUGAGAAUAAAGAGCCAACCAAACCAGAAGACACUUUUGUACACACGAUGGCAUGUCCUACCACAGGGUGCAAGUGUUGCCCUUCUCAUCUUCACCUGCUGCUCCUUGCUCAGGCUGCAGCAUCACUGCCCAUUGCAGGGGGAGUUUUGGUCCUGUUACCCUAGAACAGCUGAAAACCACGAAGGGAUAUUAGCAGGAUGUUUUCAUUGCCAAACAUCAUCAGCCGAGUCAUUUACUGAAUCUGAACGUCUUGCGUCUGGGCUGCAGGAAAGCAGACAUCCACAAGUGACUCUGAGGACCGAUGUGACUCACAGCACUUUAUUGCUGGUGGUGGCAUGUGAGAAGGCAAGACAGCAGUCUGAAUCACAGAGCCCAGUCCCAGCCUGUGGGGCUGGUAGCUGGCACGUUUUCUUUGCUUGUAGCCAGAGCACAGCUCUUAUGGAAGCCACUGAACGUCGACGGAUGGUAAACCUGAAUGCUGUGUGCCACUUUCUUGCACUCAUUUCACAGCAUGUAAGAGCAUUGUAAGAGCAAAACCAUUUCUCAGAUCUGCAGCGUGGCUCCUGAAUCCAAUACUGCCUUUCUCUGUAUAGGAAUAGGACUUCUCAGCAUAUGAAGGAACAGCAUCAGAAGCGAAAUGUCAUUUGCAAGUUGGAGGCAAAAAUUUUGCCCUGAGACUAGUUAACAAUGAAAUGUAAAAGAUGCAGAGAUUUACAGGGUCAGCCUACCUUCAGACUGCUCAGUGCUGCAAUGCCAGAGAGAGUCAACCGCUGUCAGCCAUUUGCUUAUCCUCGUAAAGCCCAAAAAUCAAUCCCUGAAAUAAAGCAAGCAUAGCUGCAUUGAUCUGGCA
rnacentral:lncRNA from 1 species